CGUAGGGUGCGAGCGUUGCCCGGAUUUAUUGGGCGUAAAGGGCGCGUAGGCGGCUCGGCACGUCCGUUGUGAAAUCGCCCGGCUCAACUGGGCGGGGUCGGCGGAUACGGCCGAGCUGGAGCAAGCUAGGGGGUAAUGGAAUUCCCGGUGUAGUGGUGGAAUGCGUAGAUAUCGGGAGGAACACCAGUGGCGAAGGCGGUUACCUGGAGCUUUGCUGACGCUGAUGCGCGAAAGCGUGGGGAGCGAUCCGGAUUAGAUACCCGGGUAGUCCACGCCGUAAACGAUGCGGACUAGGUGUCGGGGGUAUCGACUCCCUCGGCGCCGCAGCUAACGCAUUAAGUCCGCCGCCUGGGGACUACGGCCGCAAGGCUA
rnacentral:rRNA from 1 species